GAUGAACGCUAGCUACAUGCUUAACACAUGCAAGUCGAGCGAGUGGCGGACGGGUGCGUAAUGUAUGGGGACUGCCCGAUAGAGGGUUAUAACUACUGGAAACGGUGGCUAAUACCGUAUACUGUCGGAUACCCCAUAUGGGAUGAGCUAGUAGGUAAGGGAAUGACUUACCUAGGCGACGAUCCCUAGCUGGUCUGAGAGGAUGAUCAGCCACACUGGGACUGAGAAACGGCCCAGACUCCGACGGAGGCAGCAGUGGGGAAUAUUGCACAAUGGGCGCAAGUCUGAUACAGCCAUGCCGCGUAUAUGAAGAAGGCCCUAGGGUUGUAAAGUACUUUCAGUCGGGAGGCGUUACCGACAGAAGAAGCACCGGCUAACUCCGUGCCAGCAGCCGCGGUAAUUC
rnacentral:rRNA from 1 species